GAUGAACGCUGGCGGCGUGCCUAAUACAUGCAAGUCGAGCGAACUGAUUAGAAGCUUGCUUCUAUGACGUUAGCGGCGGACGGGUGAGUAACACGUGGGCAACCUGCCUGUAAGACUGGGAUAACUUCGGGAAACCGAAGCUAAUACCGGAUAGGAUCUUCUCCUUCAUGGGAGAUGAUUGAAAGAUGGUUUCGGCUAUCACUUACAGAUGGGCCCGCGGUGCAUUAGCUAGUUGGUGAGGUAACGGCUCACCAAGGCAACGAUGCAUAGCCGAACUGAGAGGGUGAUCGGCCACACUGGGACUGAGACACGGCCCAGACUCCUACGGGAGGCAGCAGUAGGGAAUCUUCCGAAAUGGACGAAAGUCUGACGGAGCAACGCCGCGUGAGUGAUGAAGGCUUUCGGGUCGUAAAACUCUGUUGUUAGGGAAGAACAAGUACAAGAGUAACUGCUUGUACCUUGACGGUACCUAACCAGAAAGCCACGGCUAACUACGUGCCAGCAGCCGCCGUAACAC
rnacentral:rRNA from 1 species